UACAGAGGGUGCAAGCGUUAAUCGGAAUUAUUGGGCGUAAAGGGUGCGUAGGUGGUUUAAUGAGUUAGAUGUGAAAGUCCUGGGCUUAACCUGGGGAUUGCAUUUAAUACUGUUAAGCUUGAGUACUGUAGAGGGGAGUGGAAUUUCCGGUGUAGCGGUGAAAUGCGUAGAUAUCGGAAGGAACACCGGUGGCGAAGGCGACUUUCUGGACAGAUACUGACACUGAGGCACGAAAGCGUGGGUAGCAAACAGG
rnacentral:rRNA from 1 species